ACAUAUCUAUGUCAUCACCACCUAGAGCAAAAACAAAGAACAUUAUCAAGGCCCCAGAAGUGGCCCUAUGUACACCUUCCCAGUCAACACAUCCCUCUGCCUAUUCUGACUUCUGCCACCACCGAGUAUUUAUGCCUCUUUCUGAGCUUCAUAUAAAUGAAGUCAUACAAUAUGUACAUUUAUUUCUGAAUGCUUUUACUCAAUAUCUUAUCUCUGAGAGUCAUAUCAUGUUGUUCUGUGUAGCAGUAAGUUGGUUUUUUUUUAAUUGAUGUGUAGUAUUUCAUUGCAUAAUCAUACCUCAAUCUAUUUACCCAUUCAUGGAUAUCUGGAUUGUUUCUAUUAUGUUUCUAUUUGAUAGCGAUGGUGUAGGCACAGGUAGUUAUAGAAGUCCCAAUAAAGGGUAAUAUUCAAAGAGGGAAACUUAGGGGACAUUGGGAGAUCACUGUAAGUUAAUAAAUUGCUCAAGAAAGCCAUAUGCACAAGGCAGGCUGGCUUCACUAGUGGAGCCUUGAGCAUUGCCUCAGGUCACUGGGCGGGGGAUGGGAUUAGGCCUACAUUCAUAUUCAGACCAAGGGCAAGAGUUUGAGGACCACACUUCUGCGAAUGAUUUGAAUACACACCUUACCCGGAUACUAAGGGGGAGCUAUUACUUCCAGAAAGGAAGAGGCGGGCCUUUCCAACCCCCAAUCCCCUGGAAUGAUAAAACUGUAGCCCAAGGGCGGAUCCUUGGGGCAGAGCUUCCUUGCCUGCCCGCUUGCGUCUCUCACAAGCAUUCUAUCCUAAUAAAUCUGUUUCUUGCCUAUCGCUUUGUCUCUCACUGAAUUCCUUCUGCGCAGAGGCACAAAGAACCUGAACCUCAGUAAGUCCAGACAUCGGGUGAGUGAAAACGUGGGUUCAAGUCCCAGUCUGGGUUUUGGCCAGGUUCGAGUCCCAACACACUGGUUCAAGUCCCAACACACUGGAUCAAGUCCCAAUCUGGGAUUUGGCAGGGUUUGAGUCCUGUCACGGGAGUUCAAGUCCCAAUCUGUGUUCUGGCUGGAUUCAGGCUGUUAAUGCUAUCAGUUUCAUAUUAUUCUGUUAUGAACAUUCUUGCAAAUGCUUCAGAUGCACCUAUGCACUCAUUCCUGUUGGGUAUACACAUCUAGGAGUAUAAUUAGUGAGUCACAGGAUGUAUGUUGGCUCACUUUUAUAGGUAAGUCCAAACAGCUUUCCAAAAGUAGUUAAAUUUACAUACUCACCAGCAGUAUAUAAGAGUUUGAGCUUUUCUAUAUCUCCAUUUGGUUAUCAGGAUUUUUUUUUUUUAAUUUUAGUCAUUUGGUUUCUUUUUAGGGCCAUACCUGUGGCAUAUGGAUGUUCCCGGGUUAGGGGUCAAAUCAGAGCUGCAGCUUCCGCCUACACCACAGCCACAGAGGCAACACCUGGAUCUGAGCCACAUCUGCGACCUUCACGUCACAGCUUGAGGCAACGCCAGAUCCUUAACCCACUGAGCAAGGCCAGGGAUUGAACAACCAUCCUCAUGGAGACAGCGUGGGGUUCUUAACCCACUGAGCCACAGCAGCAACCCCUGAUUUGCCUUUUACACUUAAUUUAUACCGAUGAAUCAAAGUUCUUAAUUUUAAUGAACAUGUUGCUACGAGAAAUAGAUUCAAUCCUCCGGGUCCAUACAGACACUGAUUUAAGGAAUGUUAACUAGUUAACUGAUCGGGACCCAGACUUUGCAUAGGCCCUAACUACAAAUACAUCGUCACUAACCUCACAUCCCCAAAGCUUUAGAUACAAGCAAUCACCAACUUAAUCAGUAAUGUGUCCACAGAUUAUCAUGUGUAUUUAUGCAUCAUACCCAGGAAAUUUGUUAUAAAUCGUGAAUGGUUUGCACCACCAGACCUUCGAAGUCCCACAGCAUGCUUCCAGCACAGCUCAGCACAACCAACAGCUCUGUAGGGUAUCUCCCAGAAGAGAUGUUCAAAGCACAAACUAUGGUCCCAAGAACAUAUCUCUUCUCUCCCCAUCCCAGUGCCCCCAGAUAAAAAUACCCAACCUCAAAAGCUUCCCAAUAAUGACCAGGAAUCCCAUUAUCCUAAAUAGCCAGUGAAAGUUUCCUUGGCCUGGGGUAGCAGAAGAAGCAACAGGCUUCUUCAAUGAUCAGAUUUCAAGGAAGCCUGGGUAGGGCUUACACAUCUAUUUAUCUCCCAGAUCUUUGCAGCUCCUCUGUGCAAUGUCUUUCGUUAUCUUCAUGUUAUAAGCAGAGAAAGAUUAUUUUGUUCAGCCAAGACUGUAUAGGAGCUUGUAGAGAAGGGAGAAGGGUGGUGUUGGGGUUUCCUACUGGACCAAUGUCCCUGAGCCUGCCUCUGCCUUCUUACAUGCUCCCAGGGUUCCUUUUCUUUGAUCCACUGUGUACCACCUGGGAUCACAACCCUUUCUCUGCUUCUCUAGCCAUAGGCAAACAAGAUAGCUCUUUUGAUAUUUUUUUUUCCCCUAGGGAGACUGACAGACAGGAAAUACCAUACCCUAGAUGUUCCUUCCUUUAUCUUAACCUCCUUUCUCCCUCUUCCCACCCUCGCCCACCUCCCACACCAAGACACACUUAAACGCCAUGACAUAAUUGUAUUACUUUCCUUUUUCAGA
rnacentral:lncRNA from 1 species